GCAUGAAGUCGGAAUUGCUAGUAAUCGCAGAUCAGCAUGCUGCGGUGAAUACGUUCCCGGGCCUUGUACACACCGCCCGUCACACCAUGGGAGUCGGUAACACCCGAAGUCGGUAGCCUAACCGCAAGGGGGGCGCUGCCGAAGGUGGGGUUGAUGAUUGGGGUGAAGUCGUAACAAGGUACC
rnacentral:rRNA from 1 species